rnacentral:rRNA from 1 species
ACAGUGUCUGGUGGGUAGUUUGACUGGGGCGGUCUCCUCCUAAAGAGUAACGGAGGAGCACGAAGGUUGGCUAAUCCUGGUCGGACAUCAGGAGGUUAGUGCAAUGGCAUAAGCCAGCUUGACUGCGAGCGUGACGGCGCGAGCAGGUGCGAAAGCAGGUCAUAGUGAUCCGGUGGUUCUGAAUGGAAGGGCCAUCGCUCAACGGAUAAAAGGUACUCCGGGGAUAACAGGCUGAUACCGCCCAAGAGUUCAUAUCGACGGCGGUGUUUGGCACCUCGAUGUCGGCUCAUCACAUCCUGGGGCUGAAGUAGGUCCCAAGGGUAUGGCUGUUCGCCAUUUAAAGUGGUACGCGAGCUGGGUUUAGAACGUCGUGAGACAGUUCGGUCCCUAUCUGCCGUGGGCGCUGGAGAACUGAGGG